CCCACUAGAGUAGUUCCUGAACGUGCUUGUGUGGCGGUAACACCCAAGUGAUGGAGUGCAAAGGAUCAAAGUUCAAGCAGAAUCUGCACAACCUGCCCACGUAAACGUGAGCAUUUUAUCCACACCAAGCUAGCUAGCUGCGCAGCCACCAUACCAAAGCAGCAAUAAGUCAUGUUAUCUUUUGAUGAACGAUUUGCAAUUUCGGUGUCUUAAAAAUUAUAUUGUUCAUAAAAUGCUGAAUUACUCUGUAGUUAGCUUUGUUUUCAGUGCCAACGCUUUAAAAUAGCAAUUGAAAGUCAUGCAAAGUCGAUUUUUACAGCCAGGCCUGGAAGGAAGGUUGGGCACCACUGGUUUUUAGUGUUGGCAUCGUGGCUUCCAAAUUGAUCACCGCAGUGAAAAUGAUAACAAAAAUGUUUGCAACAACAGUUUUAGUUACCUCAUCCGGCUGUAAUUAUAUAAAAAUCCAGCUCUGUUCAUGUAUUUCUGUCUGGAAAAUACUGAAUAAGUCAGCAUAUAGCCUCUGAAAAUAUAAAUUGGGUCACUCUGCCUGUGUUUCUAGAUUGAGACACGCUCGCUUCACAUGACUGGACAAAAAGUCCUUAUCUCACAGCCUGGAACUGAGGAAGGAACUACCAACACUGUUCCAAAGGGUGGGCCUCACGAGGCACCAGUGGCGAGAGCCAAACUGUGGCAGAGUUUCACUUUAUGGACCCGGAUUUGCCACCUCUGUAUACGAAGGAGACAAGGAAAUCUGCGUGAAGGCAGAGGAGGAGAUGAGGGGAAGAGGUGACACUGACGCAUCCUUACUGUUCUACCAUCCACCCACUGCCCCUGUCGAGAACAAAGAGCACAUGCAGUGACACAGUGUGCAGUGACUGCAGCGCAAGCUACCUCAUUUGCCACAAGUUCCAUCCGCUCGAAACACAACAUGCUCGAGUGGAGGCUAAACUCUGUGAAAUGGCCACGAAAGAAAACGAAAAAGUCCAGCGAGAGGCCCUGGAAGUGGGCAGACUGCAGUGGGAGCGAUCCCUGAAAAUCGAGGUCCAGAAACUGGCAACUGCAUCGAUAAAAUAUACCAAAGCAGAAGAGACGAGUCUCGUCGAGGAAAGUGGACUGAAAACCGAGAGGUUGACGAGGGAGCUCCAAAGUGGAAGAUCGGAAAAUGUGUGAAGAGGCAGAGCGGCAACUUCAAAUUGAGCUACUUGGAAACUUGCAGACUGAAGUUUUGAGCAAGCGGUGUGAAGAGCUGCACGAGGAGGGUGAGAAGAAAAGAAAUUCAAUGUGACGCACUUCAAAAGGCCAACGCUCACUUGGACGAGCUGCGAAAACGCCUCAGACAGCAGGAAACAGGAAGACAGAUCUCGUUGGGGCGAGUUUAAAGCAGGCAUGCAUCAAAGAGCUGUAAUCCGCCAAUGAGCCAAAAGGAAGAAGACGACAACUCACCUUUCUUGAUGGGUAUUGGAUUCCGUGCGACUUGGAUUGGAUUCUACCCUUGGCCACAACACGGAGUGAGCUCCGAGUUAAGAUGCACUGCAUGAUUGAAGCAAAAUGACAUUUGCAACCGACCAUUCCUCCGUAACAGCGGAGAAGACAGUGUGAAGAUGAAUGUUUGAUUCCUGUGUGCGUUUAUCAUCUACAACAGCUGAUUAACUGAUUUUACAGCCAGCUGGCAGUUCCAGAUGGGGGUGGACGGGUGUUGUUGGGGUUAAAGUCAGAUGAGAUCUACUCUUGGAUCACUGAAGGAGAUCACGGCCUCUACGAAGUGCCAGUGAGAAGAGAGUCCGCCAUGCGUGCACGUCAAUAAGCGGACAGCGCCAUGCCGGUAUGCAAGGAGACACACAUCGACCCGCAUGUGUGCACCCGCACAGAGCCUCUCAUCUCCCCUGCAGGCGUUGCAGGGAUGUGGGGUGUUGUUCACAUGCAGUCCGUGAUCCCCUGCCCCCCCUCUCUGGUGUCCUAUACCGAGCGAUAUAUGAGAAUACGCUGGGUGGCACAAAGCCUUUGGAGCAAUCCACUAUAGUUGAGCUAAUUUAAUGCUGUACAGUUUAAAACGGCAAGCACAAAAGAAUCAAGAGGCGUGGUUGUCAUUUCAACAAUGGUGUGAUAUUACUCAGGAGCUGCUGUUGGAACGGCAACACAAAGAGGCUCAAAUGAACCCCAAGUGGAGCGCUGCUAAGGGGUGAGUGAUAAGUCUAAGGUAUGAACUGGAGAGGGUCCGGCAGGAAGCUCACUCUCGUCUUUCCUCCGCUACUCAUACAUUCUCUCCCCUGUUUUACAGCCUCACAGCAAAGAGUCAAUGGUGUGAAUAUCAAAAGCACAUUCCCCACAUCCCAGUACUCAAACCUGCUCUCUCGGUUCUCCAGCUUGCUCCCCACAAUCCAAAAACGUUGAGGCUCACUGAAGAGACUAUGGUUGGGAAUACCGUCUUGCCCAAUUCUAACAAGAACUCUCUUGAUUUGGAAUCAGAACCAAGCACAAAGCGCAUCGGUGGAGUUUUCAUUCUUUGAGGAUUUUCGCAUGUGCCGGUGUGCAGCCGACUAACGACCCGUCCUCGGCAUUUAACUCCAUUUCAUCUCACCAAUCAAACGGAGCCUGGCAGUCACACACAGCGUCUCUGCGACUCCCGCACAGAAAUCAAAGUUUUCAGAAUGACGCAUUUAUGUAAAGCUGGGCAGAAACAAUGGAGGGAACAAUGGCGUGCGACUCACAGUCAGAAAAAGGCAGAACAGCUGGCCACAUAUUCUACAUGUGUAUCUAAUCGACUAAGAAAUAGAACAGGUAUGUCAUACGCUGUCAUCUGUGUCUGCUUAAAAAUGUCCAUAUUGUAGCCUACAAGAGAGUGUGUGUGUGUGUGUGUGUGUGUGUGUGUGUGUGUGGUGGGUAGACUGACGUGAUUAACCAGAGCUAGUGGAGUCAAAAAUGUCUUCCCCGACUUGGAUGCAAUGGAAUUUAGAUGCUGCGCUUUGUUAUACUUAAGGUUAAGUAGUCCUUUCAGAGAUACACACAAAUGUGCAUAUACACACACACACACACACACACACACACGUGCGCACACGAGGACCCUCAACCUCUUCUGCAGGUGCGCCCACAAGGAUGCAUUACACUGUUGAUUCAUGAUUUAAAAAAAAAAAAUCAGUGUAAUACCCAAUUCCAAUUUUAACCGAAUCAAGGCAAUUGUUUGAAUAUGAUGCUGAGAUGCACUUACAGCAUUUUCAGAUUUUACUCAUCUGAAGUGGACUCGGAUGCUUUGCUCAUGACAUUUUCUUCAGACAUGCAUGUGACUCAAUAACCUUUAAUGCAACUAUUUCAA